rnacentral:rRNA from 1 species
UACAGAGGGUGCAAGCGUUAAUCGGAAUUACUGGGCGUAAAGCGCACGUAGGCGGUUUUUUAAGUCAGAUGUGAAAGCCCCGGGCUCAACCUGGGAAUUGCAUUUGAAACUGGGAAACUAGAGUGUGUGAGAGGGGGGUAGAAUUCCAAGUGUAGCGGUGAAAUGCGUAGAGAUUUGGAGGAAUACCAGUGGCGAAGGCGGCCCCCUGGCACAACACUGACG